GACGAACGCUGGCGGCGUGCUUAACACAUGCAAGUCGAACGGAAAGGCCCUGCUUUUGUGGGGUGCUCGAGUGGCGAACGGGUGAGUAACACGUGAGUAACCUGCCCUUGACUUUGGGAUAACUUCAGGAAACUGGGGCUAAUACCGGAUAGGAGCUCCUGCUGCAUGGUGGGGGUUGGAAAGUUUCGGCGGUUGGGGAUGGACUCGCGGCUUAUCAGCUUGUUGGUGGGGUAGUGGCUUACCAAGGUUUUGACGGGUAGCCGGCCUGAGAGGGUGACCGGCCACAAUGGGACUGAGAUACGGCCCAGACUCCUACGGGAGGCAGCAGUGGGGAGUAUUGCACAAUGGGCGGAAGCCUGAUGCAGCAACGCCGCGUGCGGGAUAACGGCCUUCGGGUUAUAAACCGCUUUCGCCUGUGACGAAGCGUGAGUGACGGUAAUGGGUAAAGAAGCACCGGCUAACUACGUG
rnacentral:rRNA from 1 species